GCGAGCGUAGUUCAAUGGUAAAACAUCUCCUUGCCAAGGAGAGGGUACGGGUUCGAUUCCCGUCGCUCGCC
rnacentral:tRNA from 2 species